GUGUCAGCAGCCGCGGUAAGACGAAGGUGGCGAGCGUUGUUCGGAAUCACUGGGCAUAAAGCGCACGUAGGCGGCGAUAUAAGUCGGGUGUGAAAUCCCUCGGCCUAACCGAGGAACUGCGCCCGAAACUGUGUUGCUUGAGGAUCAAAGGGGUGCUCGGAAUUUCCGGUGGAGCGGUGAAAUGCGUUGAUAUCGGAAGGAACGUCGGCGGCGAAAGCGGAGCACUGGUUGAUUUCUGACGCUGAGGUGCGAAAGCCAGGGGAGCAAACGGGAUUAGAUACCCUAGUAGUCC
rnacentral:rRNA from 1 species